rnacentral:rRNA from 1 species
UGGGAACCUUCCCUAUGGUUCGGAAUAGCUCAGGGAAACUUGGGGUAAUACCGGAUAAGCCCUUCGGGGAAAGAUUUAUCGCCAUUGGAUGGGCCCACGUCGGAUUAGCUAGUUGGUGAGGUAACGGCUCACCAAGGCAACGAUCCGUAGCUGGUCUGAGAGGAUGAUCAGCCACACUGGGACUGAGACACGGCCCAGACUCCUACGGGAGGCAG